AACGAACGCUGGCGGCAGGCCUAACACAUGCAAGUCGAGCGCGCCCUUCGGGGUGAGCGGCGGACGGGUGAGUAACGCGUGGGAACGUGCCCUUCUCUGCGGAAUAGCCUCGGGAAACUGAGAGUAAUACCGCAUACGCCCUGUGGGGGAAAGAUUUAUCGGAGAAGGAUCGGCCCGCGUUGGAUUAGGUAGUUGGUGGGGUAAUGGCCCACCAAGCCGACGAUCCAUAGCUGGUUUGAGAGGAUGAUCAGCCACACUGGGACUGAGACACGGCCCAGCCUCCUACGGGAGGCAGCAGUGGGGAAUCUUAGACAAUGGGGGCAACCCUGAUCUAGCCAUGCCGCGUGAGUGAUGAAGGCCUUAGGGUUGUAAAGCUCUUUCAGCUGGGAAGAUAAUGACGGUACCAGCAGAAGAAGCCCCGGCUAACUCCGUG
rnacentral:rRNA from 1 species